rnacentral:lncRNA from 10 species
CUUCCGGACCCCGCUCCCCCGCGACACGCGGCUCCUGGGCUGCGAAGCCGCGUGGGGGUGGGAGCUGAGGCAGCGAGUGCGACCGCGGCGGGACCUGGAAGGAGGGCGUUCGGCUCCCGGGGCGCCGCGGCCGGCCGCCCCAUCUCCGUGGCCAUGGCGCCGGUACCUGUCGCCGCGGGGGCUCGCCGACUCCGUCACUCUCCGCCUUGCCCGUGCUCCGCUAACCCUUCAGCCCGCCCAGCAGGCCGCCCGCGCGCCGGACACCGCCGCCCGAGACUGGCAGCGCCCGCGAGCCGGCCCGAAUCCCCGGGGCAGCGCCCGGCGCCGUCCCGCCCCAGCCGGCCGCAGGACCCGCCUUCCAUAGGGCCCCGGGGCUGUCAGUCCGCCCCCAAAAGGCGCGCGGGCUGUCGAUCCGCCUGUCCGGAUUGGUGGCCGCGCGCCGUCCAUGCAAAUGAGGCCCCGCCCCCAUCAUUUGCUCCUCCACCUCCCCACGCCAGCCCACGUGUCUGGCCCUUGCCCUUUGUGGGGGCCAUAGAGAAGGGAUGGUGGAAACUGACACCCCCUCACAUCUCUUACCUCCCGAGAAAUUAAUGCCUAAGCAAGCUAGUUGACUUCCCAUCUGUAUCGUCUCUCUGAAGGCACUGCCCCUCCUAUCUGUCCACAGGGCCUACCUAGAGGCCGGAGAGGGGCAGGCCAGGCUGUUUGUUAGGUCAGCUGGCCAGGUUAGCCCUAGGAAGCAACCCCAUUAAGUCUAAGAUGCCCAGUCGGGACUGGGGAAAUCCCACCUCGAGAACCAAUUUAGCAGAUAUCACCUCCCUCUGGACACCCAGUGACUGUAAAGACCAUACUUUCUCUUGGCUUGCUACCUUUCAAGCAGGAGAUCCCAGGAGAUUAAAACAGGAAGAGGCCUUACGGCUGAGUUCGGCCAGGUGGGGUGGCUCACGCCUGUAAUCCCAGCACUUUGGAAGGCCGAGGUGGGCGGACCACGAGGUCAAGAGAUCGAGACCAUCCUAGCCAACAUGGUGAAACCCCGUCUCUACUAAAAAUACAAAAAUUAGCUGGGCUUGGUGGCGCGCGCCGUCCCAGCUACUCGGGAGGCUGAGGUAGGAGAAUCGCUUGAACCUGGGAGGCAGAGGUUGUAGUGAGUCGAGAUCACGCCACUGCACUCCAGCCUGGUGACAGAGCAAGACUCCAUCUCAAAACAAAAACAAAAACAAAACGGCUGAGUUCUUCCGCCAACUCCGAAAGGUAGACUGCCAACCAGAUGGCUACCUCUGAGUUACUCCCAUAGAGAUGCAGGAGCUGCACCUGGGCCUUAGGGAAUCUCUAAUCAACUCUCUCAUUUUUAAGGAAACAGAAACCUGAUGUCCCAUAGCUAGUUACACGUGGGACCUAAUAGUUACCUAUGGAAACCUAAUAUCCCAUAGCCAGAUUAGAACUCAUGUCUCCUGGCUCCAAACCUGCUCUCUUUGCACUAUACUGCAUUCAAACAUUUAUGAAGAGCCUCGUCCAGAAAUCGCCAUGCUGCCUUCAAGAGAUGAUGCCUGGGCGCCGGGCGCGGUGGCUUACGCCUGUAAUCCCAGCACUUUGGGAGGCCGAGAUGGGCGGAUCACCUGAGGUCGGGAGUUCGAGACGAGCCUGACCAACAUGGAGAAACCCCGUCUCUACUAAAAAUAAUUUUAAAAAAUUAGCCGGGCAUGGUGGCGCAUGCCUGUAAUCCCAGCUAUUCAGGAGGCUGAGGCAGGAGAAUUGCUUGAACAGAGGUUGCAGUGAGCCGAGAUCGCACCAUUGCACUCCAGCCUGGGCAACAAGAGCGAGACUCCAUUCUAAAAAAAAAAAAAGGGUGAUGAUGUCUGCAGAAAAGACAAAUAAAGCCAAGACUGAAACCGCCUCGAGGGCAGGGGUUCUGUCUCAGUCAUUUGUCUGUCCUCAGUGCCUAGAAGCUUCCCUGUUUACCAGUUGCCGAGGGGAGUCACUGAAACAAUGUAUUUGUUCAUUAACGCAGAAAAACAAAGUUGAUCAAAAUUCCUCUGCAUACUAAUACCAAUUGAUUAAGCAUCUACUAUGCUUAAUAAUAGCACUGUGCCUGGCCUCUAUUUGGUUCUUUUUCAAAUCUGCUAUGCCACUUCAUGUAUUUCCCAGUACCCUGCUAUAAUUUUCAGGCUUGUCUUAUCCAUCCUUAAACAUAGUAUUGUUGUUUUAUGGUCUAUAACUGAUAAUUCUAAUCUGGAGUUCCUGUGAAUCUGCUUCCAUUGU